GGGCUUUUAUUUCCUGCCCUGCUGUUGGGAACCGGACUACAUGUGCUGCGUGAGUUCCCCUGAAUGUUCAGUUGCUGCCACUCGGCCAUGGCAUGUUCCCAUGGGCCUGGCCUUGACACCCUUUUCUGCCCACCACUGGUGAAUGGCACGCUGAUUAGCGCUGGCCACCCUGCCGCAGGCCAUCCGCCGUCUCCCUCUUUAGAGUUAACUACUGUUCUUUUUAUGAGGAAACGGCGUGUCUAUUCAGGAAAUGAUCACUGCCAGCAUCUGCAGAGUGCUUACUGUCUGGCGGCUUCUGUGCUGAGCCCUUUUCUGCUGCCUGCCAUGCGCUAUGAGUCCACGGUGUGCAGAGGCCGUCGUGGAAGUUGUCGUGUCAGCAGCGCUGUAGACCGCAGUGUCCUUGAGGUGAGAGCUCUGGUCCAUCCUCUGGAGUGUUGGGGCCUCACAGUAGUCACGUGAGUUCUCAGGGCCCUGGGUGCAGAUGGAGGGGAGCUGAGAGGUGAGAUGAAGGCAGCACCCACGAGUCCCAGAUCUGCUCACCACCUCAGCCCCAAGCAACCUUGAUCACCCCUGCACGUGUCUUCAGUGGCCGCCAGGGGUGGGCCUCGUGUCCCACUUGGGUACUGGGAGCUCCGGUUCAGGAGUGUCUGCCCUCCGUCCCUCGAGCGUGGGCAGUGCAUAUUGGGAUGGAAAGUGGGUGGACCAGAGAUGCUUUCCCUCUGAGUUUGAUGCCCCUUUUGCCGCCAUCUCAGUUUGUGACCUUGUCUUCUUCAUUUGAAAAUCCAAGCUAUGACAGAGAUGAUUUUGUGGUACUUAGGACCGCAAAAUGCCUAUAAUUUCCAGCCAUGAUAUUUCCUCACUGUUUUUGCCCAAAGUGACUCCUCUUUGAUUCCCUUUGGCAGGGAGGUCCUGUUGGGCUUUCACAGGAAAGAAUGGCCACCCCUGGGCUUCUGUGCUUGGCCGAGUCUUUUUGCUAGACUCAGUGUAUCCUCUAGGCCACUGGCACCUGCUCAUCUUCGUAGAUCUCUCUCUGCCUUGCGUGCACCUGCAUUCAAAAGUGACCACGGGCUGGCCGUGCUCUGGUCGUUGAUAAUGCAGGGAGAGGAAUUGUGGAAAGCAGUUUCCCGAAUUUGGAGGGUCCACACCUGUCCCUUUCAAAUGCUGGCGCUUUCACACACUCCUGCUUCUCUCCAGCCCAUGCUUUCUGCACUCAGGCACUGGGAGCUGCGUGUGACAGGCAGUGACAGGAGACUUCCAAGCCUAAGCUUCCUGUUAUCAGAGCCAGGCUGUGUCGUGUCGUGUUGAGAUACUUUAGGGGGUGUAAGGAGCCAGGAUGAAUUACGUAUAAUGAAUAAGUAUGGUGUUGGGGGGGUACAUAGUGAUUGGCAUAAGACUUUCUAGGGGAAGCAGCUCUUUGGAGGUGGUGGACUGGGCAGGCCUUUGAAGGGGCGGGUGUCAUAGGCAACAGGAAGGGCUUCGAGGGGAGGGGAGGCACACAAGGGUGACUUGAGGCAGGGGUGAGCACGAGCACCGGGGAGUCAGGUGCACAGAUAAGUGAUGGCUCUGGGAAGUGGGGGACGGCUGCUGGGGUGGUGGGCUGAACAGUAGGAGAGAACAAGCUCUCCAGCCAUCUCUCUGCCAAUUCCCUUUACUCUGUCACCCUGAGAAGACCCAUUUUUCCAAGACAGUGUUCAUUCUGACUCUUCUCUGGGAGCAUUGAGAUUCCUUUUUGAGCCAAGAUUGGUGUGGAAAAAAACACUGCAGCUCAUCUCUGACUAAUUGGGGACGCUUUCAUGGAUGUCACCUUAAAGAAAGAUGAGGUAAUAUUGGAAUUCCCUUUGUGAUUCAGCGGAAAUGAACCCGACUCGUAUCCAUGAGGAUGCGGGUUUGAUCCCUGGCCUGGCUCAGUGGGUUAAGGAUCUGGCAUUGCCAUGAGCUGUGGUGUAGGUCGCAGAUGCAGCUUGGAUCCUGCGUUGCUGUAGCCUAGGAUGGCAGCUACAGCUCUGAUUCAACCCCUAGCCUGGGAACUUCCAUAUCCUGUGGGUGCGGCCCUAAAAAGAGAAAAGAAAAAAAAAAAUAGAUGAGGUAAUAUUGGGGAGCAAACUCUUGUCAUGCCCUCCUGGUCUGUGGCCUCCUCGUUGCUCUAGGGGUGCUGCUUUGGAAGAAGCCUCGGGGGUCAGAACCACUCGCCCUCUCAAGGUGAGGACCUGGGUCCCAGCUCCCCCGGAGGGUCCUCCUCAUGGUAUUUAGGGGCUGACCGCGGACACUGGCGUAGCAGCGUGAAGCAGGAUGUUGUCGCAUGACCAUCGCCAAACCUUUCUCUUCUGUUGCCUCAGCACAGCGUGGAAGGACUCUGCCCUCUGUGUGAACAGGGCAGAGGGGAAGUUCUGGGGCUCCAGGGACUUGGGGUUCAGAGCUGGAGACCUUCUACUGGCUCCCAGCAGGUGCCUCAGAACACUGCUGACCAGGAAGACUGUGUCUUCCCAUCUGGACCAGGUCAUCCCGUGGCUUCUGUGUCUCCCAUUUGCUCCUAGUAUAACUUUUUAGAACCAGGAGUUCCUGUUGGAGUCUUGUGUGCCGUGCAUCUUAUCUUCUCACCCACUUAAAUAAAUCUCGAAACUG
rnacentral:lncRNA from 9 species